rnacentral:rRNA from 1 species
CACAUGCAGUCGGACGGUAGCACAGAGAGCUUGCUCUUGGGUGACGAGUGGCGGACGGGUGAGUAAUGUCUGGGGAUCUGCCCGAUAGAGGGGGAUAACCACUGGAAACGGUGGCUAAUACCGCAUAACGUCGCAAGACCAAAGAGGGGGACCUUCGGGCCUCUCACUAUCGGAUGAACCCAGAUGGGAUUAGCUAGUAGGCGGGGUAAUGGCCCACCUAGGCGACGAUCCCUAGCUGGUCUGAGAGGAUGACCAGCCACACUGGAACUGAGACACGGUCCAGACUCCUACGGGAGGCAGCAGUGGGGAAUAUUGCACAAUGGGCGCAAGCCUGAUGCAGCCAUGCCGCGUGUAUGAAGAAGGCCUUCGGGUUGUAAAGUACUUUCAGCGGGGAGGAAGGCGACGGGGUUAAUAACCCUGUCGAUUGACGUUACCCGCAGAAGAAGCACCGGCUAACUCCGUGCCAGCAGCCGCGGUAAUACGGAGGGUGCAAGCGUUAAUCGGAAUUACUGGGCGUAAAGCGCACGCAGGCGGUCUGUUAAGUCAGAUGUGAAAUCCCCGGGCUUAACCUGGGAACUGCAUUUGAAACUGGCAGGCUUGAGUCUUGUAGAGGGGGGUAUAAUUCC